AUUCAUCUGACGAGUACCGAAUAGGACGAAACGCGCGUCCUGGAU
rnacentral:hammerhead_ribozyme from 1 species